GGAAAUAUAUUGGUACCUAUCUGGUGAAAACUGACUCUGAAAAGUCCCAUGGUUUUUCACCUAAUUAAAAGUAAUUUUUUUCUCUCAACCCCAGUCACAUGGUCCAAUCAAGGGGGCUGUCUGAAGAUCCAGUGACAUCACUCCUCCUUCCUCUGAUCAGCUUCAGAAGUUCAUCCAGUGGCUUGAGGAAGCGGAAGAAGAGUCGUCCGAAGGGGAGCAAAACUGACCUGGCGGCCUCCACCAGAAAGAAAGGCGAGCUUUGCUCUCUUUCUUGGGAAAAAGGGAGGCCCAAAGCACCCAUCGUGGCUGAAGGAGGUGGCCAAAGAAGCAAGAACAAAUUGUGUGCAUGGCCCGCUCCCCCAUGCAUGUGGGAUUUGAACUCUCGGCUGGCUGACAAUCCUGUGGCUUAUUUAGUUGUAUAUUUAAUGUUCCUGGCAGACACAUGUGGGACGGAAGGAAACUAUUGCUGGAUAAACCAGAGACCUGUAUAUGAUUUAAAGUCUUUUGAAGGGGUGUGUAUACACACAAAUGUGUGCUUCUGGUUAUAUCUACACAUAUAUGUGUAUGUGUACACACACACACACACACACACAUAUCUAAAGCUACCCACUGGGGACAAGGGAUGAGAGUUGGGUGUCUACUAAUGUCCAGGUAAGCAGUAAAGAUGUGCAAAUCCCAAGUCGACCUUAACAGUUAGGAUUCCAACCACUUUUGAGUUCUUCACCCCAAAAAUAAUAAUCUCUUAAAACUUCUUGCAUUUGCUUGUGUCCAUGGGAAGGGGUUCAUUCAGUCCAAGAACCAGUUCUAAAGCAGAAAAGAGAAAGACAAAGUUAGACCAGUAGGAUAAGCCAGGACAGAGAAUAUGCAAUAGCCAAAUGUGUCCUUUGACCCUAACCCUAAACUAGGGAAUUUAACUCCAGAAAAAAAGAACCUUCCUGGGGGAGAAAAUCUGCUUUUUGAAGUCAGGGCAGUUCCACAUGCUCACUUAGAAAUGUGAUGUCAUCCCAAACUACGGAGCCCCCCUCCCCCUUCACUUCUCUUUGCAUAAAAUGGGAAAAUGGCUCAUCUACCUCACAAAGCAUUUGUCGAUAAAGAGAAACCCGUGUAACGAAUAAGUGUUCUUAGGUCUCUCACGUCGGUUGCUCUGUUGUGCAUCGGUCUUACUGACAAGCCUGGUUCUUCGGAGCUGGAUGACGUGUCUUGUUUUUUGAGGAAAAAAAUGGGACUGUUUCUCCUGAAGCUGCUGGAGUCCUCUCAGCCUCUGACAAAAUACGUGGGGGUUUUUUUUGUGUGUGUGUGUGUGAUUUUUGUGGUUCAACUUUGACCACAUAUUGACUCCCCAUAUAUCCUAGCUAGGCCUCUCAUGGACACUUUGCAUAGGAUUCUGCUCAUUCUGACAGUUUUCAAACCCUCAGGAGAACUUCUCCUGUUGAUAGUGUUUGUUGGAACACUGGUGGCUCAAGGUUUGUCAGAUAAAAAGGUUUUAGUAGCUUGUUUUUUCUAACACAGGGGUCUCCAAACUUGGCAAUUUUAAGGCUUGUGGACUUCAUCUCCCAGAAUUCCUCAGCCAGCCAUGUUGGAAUUCUGGGUGUUGAAGUCCACAAGUCAUAGAAAUCUGUGGAGAUUCUCAGUCAUCCAGAUGAUGGUUGUCCCAAAGAUGCUUUUUCAGGAGGCAACUGGACUUUUAUAUUUUUUUUUCUUUUGAAAUCCAAGAAGCUUCUUCAGCUCUGACUGGAUGGCGUGGAAUGGAAGGAUUUGUAUUCCUCUCCAAAGGAUGCAAAUGACUAUCUGUCUGCAAAGAAUAUAAAAUCCUUCCAUACCCCACUAUCCUGUCAGAGCUGAAGAAGUUUCUUGGGUGAGAAGCUAAACGUCUUCAAAGAAAACAACAAAGUCCAGUUGCCUCCUGAAAAAAAAGCACCUUUGGGACAAGUCUUAAAGGUUACCAAGUUUGGAGGCCCCUGUUCCUUUUUGACCCAUUGUCAUUGCUGAUAGAGUUCUCCAAUCUCUUUUCUUGAUCACAGUUCAGCGUCUGGGGGAUGCUGGUGGCGAUAAGAAUUCAGAAGUCAAGAACUUGGGUUCAAAUUGGUGGUGACCAACAUGCAGCCUUUCAAAUCUUAACCAUUGGUCAUAAUGGAUUUUACUCACUUGAGUUGUACUUCAAAUAUCUCUUAAUAAGCCAACAGAUUUUCACCUUGGAAUCGCUUGCCAGCAUUCUUCCUAGAAAGGAGAGAAAAACUGAAUAGCAAACCCUUCCCCCCCCCGAUCGAUUGUCUCAAAGAGUGACUUAAAUGUCUGGGAAACAUUUCCUGGUUUGUUUUUUUUGGUGUGUGGGGGAAAGAGUUUAAACACUUCUCAAGUCCAUUUGUAAAUUCUGUGAAAGAAGUUCUCUUUUUUCUCUCCCGUCCAUGCUAAUAUUCAAUUUGGAGUCAUUAAACCCCUCUGAUGCAAAGAAUGACUUGUUGGUUCUGCCAUAUAUUGGAAUCUGAAAAAAGGCUUUUAUGUUAGAGACACUGCUAGAAGAUUGACAACACCUCAGGCUUAAAAAAUAUUUUUAGGCAAGUCAAAUUGGAAUCCGCAAGUGCCACUUCACUGUUGUGUUUUGUUUUGUUUUGUGUGUGUGUGUGUGUGUGUCUAAAGCCUGUUCUUUCCAUUCUUGCAUUCUGGGUUUCCUUGCUUCAAUGUUUGUUAUUUACUUCUUGUUUUACUUGUUUAUUUUGAACCCCACCUUUUAUCAUUUUUACAAAUAAUUCAAGGUGGUGAACAGAUUAGAAUAGAAUAACGGGGUUGGAAGGAACCAUGGAGGUCUUCUAGUCCAACCCCCUGCUUAGGCAGGAAACCACCCUAUACCACAAAUGGUUAUCCAAUCUCUUCUUUAAAACUUCCAGUGUAGGGGCAUUCACAAUCUCUGAAGGCAAGUUGUUCCCCUGAUUAAUUGUUCUGUCAGAAGAUUUCUCCUUAGUCCUAAAUUGAUUU
ensembl:lncRNA